rnacentral:rRNA from 1 species
GGGGAGGCCGAAAGGCGUAGUCGAUGGGAAACAGGUUAAUAUUCCUGUACUUGGUGUUACUGCGAAGGGGGGACGGAGAAGGCUAUGUUGGCCGGGCGACGGUUGUCCCGGUUUAAGCGUGUAGGCUGGUUUUCCAGGCAAAUCCGGAAAAUCAAGGCUGAGGCGUGAUGACGAGGCACUACGGUGCUGAAGCAACAAAUGCCCUGCUUCCAGGAAAAGCCUCUAAGCAUCAGGUAACAUCAAAUCGUACCCCAAACCGACACAGGUGGUCAGGUAGAGAAUACCAAGGCGCUUGAGAGAACUCGGGUGAAGGAACUAGGCAAAAUGGUGCCGUAACUUCGGGAGAAGGCACGCUGAUAUGUAGGUGAAGUCCCUUGCGGAUGGAGCUGAAAUCAGU